UAUCUCUCAGCAUCCAUGGAGGGGAGAAAAUUGGUGUUGUUGGUCGAACUGGAAGUGGAAAGUCGACUUUGAUCCAAGUGUUCUUUAGGUUGGUAGAACCUUAUGGUGGGAAGAUAAUAAUUGAUGGGGUCGAUAUAUGCAAGCUCGGCCUUCAUGAUCUUAGGUCUCGUUUUGGAAUCAUCCCUCAGGAACCUGUCCUCUUUGAGGGAACUGUUAGAAGCAAUAUAGACCCCCUCGGGUUGUAUUCUGAUGAUGAAAUAUGGAAGGUAUGAUUCCAUUUAUAAAGUGUGUAAAUGAUAUGUUGGAAUGUCUGUAAGCUCUCACGAUAAAGGUGAAUAACUCUGUGUGUUUGGCUCACAUUUUUCGAAGUUUUGCUAGCUCAUUGAUGCUCGAAAUUAGGAAUACAUACAUAACAUUAUAAACUCCCAACUUUAUUAUGAUGUCUAGAACUGAGUUACUUUUGGUUUUACUGAUUAAUGUUUCUUUGUUUUCUCUGUAUCAUUCUAGAGUCUUGAACGCUGCCAGCUGAAAGAUGUCGUGUCCGCAAAACCUGAAAAACUCGAUGCUUUAGGUCCCCACCAUUUUUCAUUAGUUUUCAUUUUAAUUUCUACGAAUGAUUCAUAUCUAUGUAACUAACACGUACCAGCACAUUUCUUUCACAGUGGUUGACUCCGGAGAUAACUGGAGUGUGGGACAAAGACAGCUUCUAUGCUUGGGACGAGUCAUGCUGAAACGCAGCAGGGUUUUGUUUAUGGAUGAAGCAACAGCAUCCGUUGAUUCUCAAACUGAUGUCAUCAUUCAGAAAAUCAUCCGUCAGGAAUUCUCAGCUUGCACGAUUAUUACUAUAGCUCACAGAAUACCAACCGUUAUAGACUGCGACAGGGUGUUGGUUAUAGAUGACGGUCAGUAGUUCACUUUGUUACUUUAUUACUAUCAUUCCCAAUUUUUUUCCAUUUUAGAACUUGCUUAUUCCUCGUAAGUAAACUUUUUAAGCUUAGCCAAAACCAUGCUCCAAGAACUGCAAAUGCUCUAUUACUGUAUUAUCUUAGUGAUUAUAACCAUUUUGAUUCUUAUGCACUGCAUUUUUGCAUUGUUAUGUUUUUACAGGAUGGGCGAAGGAGUUCGAUAGUCCAUCUAGUUUGCUCGAGAGGCCCUCACUAUUCGGGGCAUUGGUUCAAGAGUAUGCCAACAGAUCGUCGGGAUUGUGAUUGCUUUAGCUGCCUACAAUUGCUAGAGGUCAUCAAGGUACCAUAUUGGCUUUAACUUGCUCUGCCAACAUUGGAACACAAAGGGGAAUCUGAUUACUGUGCUACAGAAGUUCCCUCCUGUACUCCCCCAGCCCCAACACCCUUUGGCCAAAAUUUUCAUUUUCCCGAUACAUUCUAAUUUGUCAUCAUAUUUACGAGGAAUCUUAUUUAAUCUUGAUGGCGGGAUAUUAUAUUCUAAAAUUUGGAAAUAUCAAAGAUUUUACCCGCAUUUAUGCAUACCCUCUAUGGCUUGUUUAUCUAAGAUGGACUCGUAGUCGGAAUCUUGUUUAUUAUGUGUACUUUAGUCUAUAUCAGACGUGCACUUAUAAUUCAUCCUGUAAUAUCCAAAAUUCUCCAAGCAAUAACUUGCUUUAACGAAAGAAAAAGAAAAAGGCAAGAUGCUAAACGCUCAUCUUAUGCAAUCAGAGGGAAAACCCCUCUUUUACGGUUAACUGGUUUGCAACUCCGUGUUACUGUUGAAUUUAAUUUAGUUCUUGUUAGACUCUCUUUAUUUUUCAUACUCAUUUUUAUUCACACAUUCAUAUAACAAAAUAUUUUGCAUUUAAACUCGAACCUUUUCUCUACUUUUUUAACCACAUUCUACAAAAGCUCACUAUUUAAGACAUUAUUAUCCCAAUUUCUCUUUAUAAUGACCAUCAAACUGAAGCUCAUUUGGGUAUCAAAUAGGCCGGGCCAGCUUGACCGGGCACAAACCCGAAACCCAAACUCCACAUGAACCGUUAAAUUUGUUUUUGCAUUUUUUAAAUAAAAUAGUAUUUUAACAGAAAAAUUGAAGUAAUUAUCAGGCUCUCUUGGUCAAGCUCAUUUUAAUAAAAGAUGAUUAAUGUGCGUUAAAAAAUUUUAAAAAAAAUUAUGAAUCUCAUAAAAUUUAUAGUUAAAAUUAAUGGUAAAGUGUAAAACUACCGUCAUCAUUUAUAACAGUGUACAACUCUGUAGGAAUGUCAAAUGGGCCGAACGGCUCGUUGGCUCGACCGCCCGGCUCGUCGGCAGUUCGGGCUCGUCAAAUGACGAGUCGGAGCCGGGCAAGGGCUCAAUCCCAUGAGCCAUUUUGACGACGGCUCGUGGGCUCGUCAAAAAAUAUGAUUUUUUUUUUUAAAAAAAAGGUCUAAAAUGUGCAAAUUUACAAUUUUUUUUUUUUUAAAAAUCACGAGCUCUCGAGCGGCUCAGCCCUUGAGCUCGUGGCUUGUGAGCUCACGAGCUCGUUCAACGAGCCGAGCUCGGCUUGCCACGAGUCCGAGCCGAGCUCGUGGGUUAAAGGGUUAAGCCUACUCGGUUCGACAUCCCUACAACUCAGUUUUGGGCCUUUAGCACAUCCCAUGAUUUAUUUUAUGAUGCCGAUGAUAAUGCAUUGAAGCAGACAAUUUGUUGAGGUAAAUAAAACUCUUUUUCAAAAUUGUAGUCAUAUCUUGAUUUAUUAAUUAUCGAGAAAAAAAAUAAAAUAGCAUAGAAAAUAAUUCCAUAUUAAAAACUAACAUUUUUGCCACUUUUGAUAAAAAUUUUAAUAAAAAUUGAUGAAAUAUAUGAUUGAAAAGUUGAUGAAACUUCUAUGAAUUAAUUGAAGAGUUAUAAAAUUUUAUCAGCCAAGCACAAUAUUUAGGGUUUAUUUACUAUUCCACUAUUCCACUAAAGCCAGUGCAAACUUCAAGAAAGGCAGCUCUCUUGCAUCCACUAUUCCACUAAAAGAAUGUCUUAGUAGUUUAUUUACGACGACACACGAAUCAUGGUUAACACAGAGCUUCUUGAGGUAUUUGAACUGUUAAAGAGGAACUUUGAGUUGGGAUCCUAGUGUUCCAACCUUUUGACAUUAUAUAAAAUCAACUUAUAUUAUAUAAAAUCAACUUUGAGUUGGGAUCCAAGUGUUCCAACCUUUUGACUGAUAUUAUAUAAAAUCCACUGACAUUUUUAACAAAGUUUUUAAUAAAAGUUGAUGAAAUGUAUGAUUAAAAAGUUGAUGAAAGUUCUAUGAAUUGGUUGAAAAGUAAUAAAAUUUUAUUAGCCAAGCACAAUAUUUAGGAUAGUUGACCUGGUACUCCUGACAUUUAUCUAUUUUGUAAAAUAUCUCAUAUAACCUUCUAGUUUGUUGCAAAAUUUCUUAAAUUACUAACAUUACGGAAUACAAUAUUUUCAUCCUUUUUCCUAGUAAAUAGCGAAACUACGAAAGAAGAAAAUUUAAAAAAAAUUAAUUGCAUCCAUGACUCGAAUUUGUUUAAAAGGUGCAUAUUGAUUAAAACAGUUAUAUAUAUAUAUGAAUUUUAAUUUGUAUGAAGUAAUAUUAGUGUGUUAAGUAUUUAGAAUUCACGAGAGAGAUGUACAUAGAAUAAGUUUUUGGAAAGCGAAGAGAGUAUUUAACAUACAAAAUUAUCAUCAGCUGAUAUGAAGAACAAAUGCAUAUAUAUGAAAAUUGUGAUAGAAAACCAAAAAUUUAGAUAUUGGAAAUUUUGUUUCUCUACUGCAAAUAUGGAGGAAAUCAGAAAAUAAAUAUGUCAAAGUCCUUUUGGGAGGACAAAAUUGUAGCCUCUGUAAGGCAAAGAAUAAAUAGCUUGCCCUUGACGACACUCGUCAUAACAAGAACAAUAAGCUAUAAUAAUUUUUGCUUGCUUCUUAAUCUGUUUCAUCGAUAAAUUCGCCCACUCAGUGAAGGAGGCAAUCUCUUGCAGUGCAAACUUCGAGAAAGGCAGCCCUCUUGCAUCCACUAUUCCACUAAAAGAAUGUCUUAAGAGUUUAUUUACAAAGACACAGGAAUCAUGGUCAACACAGAACUUCAUGAGGUAUUUGAACUGUUUAAAAGGGAACUUUGAGUUGGGAUCCAAGUGUUCCAACCUAGACAUCAAAGUAUUUCUCAAAAGAAGCAGUCCCAUAUCAUGGAUGUAAUCCAUGGCUUGUUGGUGUACUUCUAAUUUCUCAGUGCCUCAAGGGAAUGGAUCUGUCAUAGCCAAUUCUAUUUCACUCUCAAACGUACAGAUCUCAGUGCAAACAUCGUCCUCAGCAACCAUGACCGGAAAGAAGCUACUGCUAAUACCAUGACCUUCAACCUGAAUAAUUUCAGAUAGAAUACCAAGGUUAGUUAGCAUGUAAAUUUCAAUGGCCACCAUGCCACAUUAUGUAGGAAUAAUGAACCAAGCUCUAUAACAUGGAAAUUUCUGUGGGUAAAAAUCAAGUCAAUGCAAGAAGCCAGAAAUAAUGAGUCUCAAUUAAUAUGUUUUAUUAUCAACUUUCCUGACAUACAAGUGAUGAUGUACAAAACUGAUGCAUGUGUUAAAUAUGAAAAGCAACUAUACACUUAAAAAAAAAAAAAAAAAAUAUAUAUAUAUAUAUAUAACAGCUGAAUAAACAUAACCUUGAUCAAGCCGCUCCCAGUAACUGCAGAAAUAGAAUAGGCAAAGUUUAGAAACUGAACAUUCCCCUCAAUGCCAUCAACAUGUUCCAGCAACUCACUAUAAGAUUUCUGAUAACAAUUACUUUUUUGGCAGGAUUCCUUACUUUCAAAAAAAGUUUUCUAUUUUUAAGCUUAGACAAACAUGCAGUCUGGAGUGGUGGAUAUAUGUUUCAGCAUCUCUAUUUGUGACAAAAACUGCCGUAAAUUUGAGCAGGUUAGGUAUCGGCCAAAUACUCCUUUGGUAUUGAAAGGAAUAUCUCUCAGCAUCCAUGGAGGGGAGAAAAUUGGUGUUGUUGGUCGAACUGGAAGUGGAAAGUCGACUUUGAUCCAAGUGUUCUUUAGGUUGGUAGAACCUUAUGGUGGGAAGAUAAUAAUUGAUGGGGUCGAUAUAUGCAAGCUCGGCCUUCAUGAUCUUAGGUCUCGUUUUGGAAUCAUCCCUCAGGAACCUGUCCU
rnacentral:lncRNA from 1 species